UGGGGAAUCUUAGACAAUGGGCGAAAGCCUGAUCCAGCCAUGCCGCGUGCAGGAUGAAGGCCUUCGGGUUGUAAACUGCUUUUGUACGGAACGAAAAGGUCUUUUCUAAUAAAGAAGGCUCAUGACGGUACCGUAAGAAUAAGCACCGGCUAACUACGUGCCAGCAGCCGCGGUAAUACGUAGGGUGCAAGCGUUAAUCGGAAUUACCGGGCGUAAAGCGUGCGCAGGCGGUUAUAUAAGACAGUUGUGAAAUCCCCGGGCUCAACCUGGGAACUGCAUCUGUGACUGUAUAGCUAGAGUACGGUAGAGGGGGAUGGAAUUCCGCGUGUAGCAGUGAAAUGCGUAGAUAUGCGGAGGAACACCGAUGGCGAAGGCAAUCCCCUGGACCUGUACUGACGCUCAUGCACGAAAGCGUGGGGAGCAAACA
rnacentral:rRNA from 1 species